CCUUUUGUUUGCUGAGAACCUAUUGCCUAAUAAUUUCAGUUGGUGGCCUCCAGUUCUUGUGUUAUGUGAAGGAAUGGCUGUCCUGCCCUCAUGCCACUUGGACUAUGGGACUAGUGUGCUGGUAGGAGCACCCUCUUCAGGAUCACAGAGCUCCUUUGACACUAUGUUGCUGUUCUCUAUGUGCCAAUGGAAGGCAAGUUUGAUAGGAGUAUUUGCAGUGUCCUGUUGUUUUAAGCCUCUGAGCAGUGAGGAAUGGGGUGUGAGCAGCACAGCACUUCUCCUGCCUGACUCCUUCUCAUUGUAAAAUCAACCUACUCCUAAACAAUGUGACUGAUCUUUUCUUCUAGAGAUGUAUCAUGAAAACAUCUGACUGGAUUUAGGAGCCAUUUUCGCUUGGAACUAAGAAUUUAAAAAUGCGUCUAUAGUUUUGAGGUAUAUGGAAGAGUGCAGAGUACGUAGAAAGGAGGUUAUGCUGGAGAUGGAUCUGCUUCCAAGUUGUUCAGAAUUAAACUAAAUUAGCCACUUCAUCAAGUAAUUACUAUAGCUCCCUUGGAACUUUCUUGAGUAACACUUUUUUGUUCGCAUGGGUUUCACAUUUUGCCCUUCUGUUAAUGUAAUGUUUAAUGAAAUGUAUGAAAACUGGUUUUCUAAUUGCUUCUGGCUUUGCAUGUUCUUUUGUGAUCUCGACUGCAAACAUUGUGUAAAUGUGUCAGGAUCAAAAGUAAAGUUAACUAAUUCAAACUUUGUGUUUGCCCCUCCUGAACAGGUGGGGCGAUCAUGAAUAUGGAUGGCUAUAAUAAGACAAAUUCUCAGCAUAUUGAUCAGUGUGCUGCUGUCUGUUUUUCCCUCAGUAUAUCAUCCUGCUGAGAAACCAUCUAGAAACUGGGAGGAUUUACUGAUAGCUUGCUUAUGAGUGUACCAACAUGAUUGUGGGCUGACAGUUGCUGACAUAAUGCUACUGUUCUGCCUCAAAAUUUGGAGUGCUACAUAUAGGCUACGUCUACACUGG